rnacentral:rRNA from 1 species
GAUGAACGCUGGCGGCGUGCUUAACACAUGCAAGUCGAACGGAAAGGCCCUGCUUGCAGGGUGCUCGAGUGGCGAACGGGUGAGUAACACGUGGGUGAUCUGCCCCUUACUUUGGGAUAAGCCUGGGAAACUGGGUCUAAUACUGGAUAGGACCAUGCUGUAGGCGGUGUGGUGGAAAGAUUAGUUUCGGUAAGGGAUGAGCUCGGGGCCUAUCAGCUUGUUGGUGGGGUAAUGGCCUACCAAGGCGUCGACGGGUAGCCGGCCUGAGAGGGUGGACGGCCACAUUGGGACUGCGAUACGGCCCAGACUCCUGCGAGAGGCAGCAGUGGGGGAAAUUGCACAAUGGGCGCAAGCCUGAUGCAGCGACGCCGCGUGGGGGGUGACGGCCUUCGGGUUGUAAACUCCUUUCGGCCAUGACGAAGCCCUUGUGGUGACGGUAGUGGUAGAAGAAGCACCGGCUAACUACGUG